rfam:Ixodes scapularis strain Wikel colony gcontig_1108378349650, whole genome shotgun sequence.
CAAACGGCCCUUUUGAGGGCCAUACUCAUCCCUGCAAACGGCCGU